rnacentral:lncRNA from 1 species
CCGAUUUGACCACCAGAAACCCUACAAGUUGAAAACUCACCGGAAAAUUUCCAAAAAUUCUACAACAAUCGAUUGAACCGUUCAAGAGAAGAGGAACGGUCAUAGAUCGUGAAGAUAAAGGCUCGGAACAAGCCCAAUCGGAGUCAAAACCAUCACUGACCUUUCGAUCUCAGAAAACCCCAAAAAUUUCAUUAGAGAACAGUUCAAACAAACUACAGAUUCACAUAAAAGUAUCAUCGGAUCGUUAUGUAGGCUCUGAUACCAUGAAAACAUGCAAGAAUUCAUAGGAACUUAGAGAGAGAAAGUAGAGAGAAGGAGGAAGAGUCCAGAAGAAGAGAGAAGAUAUUAUUUCACAAAAUGACCCCUCAGGUCUGUUUACAAACGACCCCUACGCCUAUAUACAAAUGACCCCUUUACACUUAUAGCCUAUUACAUAAAUAGCCACUUACAGAAAUAACCCUAUUACACAAUUAGCCUAUUAGGCUCAGAUAUGACUCCCUCAUUGACACAAAAUAGUCUAUGGAUGGGGUUUAUCAUCAUUGCCCUACAUAUAUCUCAACACCCCCCCCCCUCAAGUUGAAGGGGGAAAUGACACAAAAUAGUCUAUGGAUGGGGUUUAUCAUCAUUGUCCUACAUAUAUCUCAACAUCAAUCGGAAAAAAAGAGUAGUUGAGACGUCUUAAUAAAAAAUUGUGAUAAUUUAAGGUAUUUGCACACACACACACACACAUAUAUAUAUAUUAAACCUUUUAUAUGAAUUUAGGCUUAAUUUUUUAAAGUAUUUUGGAAUAGUUUAUUCUAAGUAUUUGUGAAGUAUCCUAAAAAGCAUUAAUAUAAAUUACAAUAUUAAAUAAUUUAAAUAUUAAAAAAAUUCAUUGUGAUCAAAUAAACUUGUUUGACUCUUCCAAUUAUAAGUAGUAAAGUGGAAUCAAAGGACAUAUCUACUUUUGUAUUUAAGAAUUCUGUUUUGUCUUAUUUUCUUCAAGAGCGAUGCAACAACCAUUGACUAAAGCUUGAGAAACAACGAACAAGAAUAAUAUAUCAUGUUAACUACUCCACUGGAGAAAUAUAAGAAAAUGCUAGGUGUGACUAAAACGAAAUUCUGGUUGUUUACCGCUUAUGUGAUAUAGCUUAAAUAGAAUUAUAUCUUCGGUGCCAGCACAAGCACGUUAAUUACUAUGCGUCGCAUAUUAUUUUUAGUAUCUAGAAUGUUUUAAGAUUAUCUUUCACGGUCGAAGUUAAAUAUUAGUAUUCAAGAAAAGAUAAGGUCAAAUAUUAUAUAUGAUUUUAUUGAUCGAGUUUUCUCUUCAGCCCUCUGCCUUUUCUACCAGCAACUCUUUUCCAUAUGAAAACUGAAAACAUGCAAGAAAUCAUAGGAACUUAGAGAGAGAAAGUAGAGAAAAGGAGGAGAGUUUCGGAAGAGUCCAGAAGAAGAGAGAAGAUAUUAUUUCACAAAAUGACCCCUCAGGUCUGUUUACAAACGACCCCUACGCCUAUAUACAAAUGACCCCUUUACACUUAUAGCCUAUUACAUAAAUAGCCACUUACAGAAAUAACCCUAUUACACAAUUAGCCUAUUAGGCUCAGAUAUGACUCCCUCAUUGACACAAAAUAGUCUAUGGAUGGGGUUUAUCAUCAUUGCCCUACAUAUAUCUCAACACCCCCCCCCCUCAAGUUGAAGGGGGAAANNNNNNNNNNNNNNNNNCCCUACAUAUAUCUCAACAAAUGACCCCUUUACACUUAUAGCCUAUUACAUAAAUAGCCAAUUACAGAAAUAACCCUAUUACACAAUUAGCCUAUUAGGCUCAGAUAUGACUCCCUCAUUGACACAAAAUAGUCUAUGGAUG